CCUACGGGUGGCAGCAGUGGGGAAUAUUGGACAAUGGGGGCAACCCUGAUCCAGCCAUGCCGCGUGUGUGAAGAAGGCCCUCGGGUUGUAAAGCACUUUCAGUGAGGAAGAACGCCUGGUGGUUAAUACCCAUCAGGAAAGACAUCACUCACAGAAGAAGCACCGGCUAACUCCGUGCCAGCAGCCGCAGGUAAUACGGAGGGUGCGAGCGUUAAUCGGAAUUACUGGGCGUAAAGCGCGCGUAGGUGGCUUGAUAAGCCGGUUGUGAAAGCCCCGGGCUCAACCUGGGAACGGCAUCCGGAACUGUCAAGCUAGAGUGCAGGAGAGGAAGGUAGAAUUCCCGGUGUAGCGGUGAAAUGCGUAGAGAUCGGGAGGAAUACCAGUGGCGAAGGCGGCCUUCUGGACUGACACUGACACUGAGGUGCGAAAGCGUGGGUAGCAAACAGGAUUAGAUACCCUGGUAGUC
rnacentral:rRNA from 1 species